rnacentral:rRNA from 1 species
UACGUAGGGUGCGAGCGUUGUCCGGAAUUAUUGGGCGUAAAGAGCUCGUAGGCGGUGUGUCACGUCGGCCGUGAAAACCUGCAGCUUAACUGUGGGCGUGCGGUCGAUACGGGCAUCCCUGGAGUUCGGCAGGGGAGACUGGAAUUCCUGGUGUAGCGGUGAAAUGCGCAGAUAUCAGGAGGAACACCGGUGGCGAAGGCGGGUCUCUGGGCCGAUACUGACGCUGAGGAGCGAAAGCGUGGGGAGCAAACAGG